GAUCAGGGUUGCCAAUGGUGGUUACGUUUCGCCAAAAUGGCGAAUUUGAAAGGCCCUUGGCGACCUAAAGUUAUGAAUGGCGACUUGGUCAAUUAUUGC
rnacentral:lncRNA from 1 species